GACGAACGCUGGCGGCGUGCUUAACACAUGCAAGUCGAACGGUAAGGCCCUUCGGGGUACACGAGUGGCGAACGGGUGAGUAACACGUGGGUGAUCUGCCCUGCACUUCGGGAUAAGCCUGGGAAACUGGGUCCAAUACCGGAUAGGACCACUGCCUGCAUGGGUGGGGGUGGACAGCUUUUGCGGUGUGGGAUGGGCCCGCGGCCUAUCAGCUUGUUGGUGGGGUGAUGGCCUACCAAUGCGACGACGGGUAGCCGGCCUGAGAGGGUGACCGGCCACACUGGGACUGAGAUACGGCCCAGACUCCUACGGGAGGCAGCAGUGGGGAAUAUUGCACAAUGGGCGCAAGCCUGAUGCAGCGACGCCGCGUGAGGGAUGACGGCCCUCGGGUUGUAAACCUCUUUCAGCACCGACGAAGCGCAAGUGACGGUAGGUGCAGAAGAAGGACCGGCCAACUACGUGCCAGCCGCCGCCGUAA
rnacentral:rRNA from 1 species